rfam:Ovis aries breed Texel chromosome 1, whole genome shotgun sequence.
UCCCUAGUGGCUCAGAUGGUAAAACAUCUGUCUGCAAUGCAGGAGACCCAGGUUUCAUCCCUGGGUUGGGAA